rnacentral:rRNA from 1 species
AGUGAACGCUGGCGGUAGGCCUAACACAUGCAAGUCGAACGGCAGCACAGUAAGAGCUUGCUCUUACGGGUGGCGAGUGGCGGACGGGUGAGGAAUACAUCGGAAUCUACUUUUUCGUGGGGGAUAACGUAGGGAAACUUACGCUAAUACCGCAUACGACCUACGGGUGAAAGCAGGGGAUCUUCGGACCUUGCGCGAUUGAAUGAGCCGAUGUCGGAUUAGCUAGUUGGCGGGGUAAAGGCCCACCAAGGCGACGAUCCGUAGCUGGUCUGAGAGGAUGAUCAGCGACACUGGAACUGAGACACGGUCCAGACUCCUACAGGAGGCAGCAGUGUGGAAUAUUGGACAAUGGGCGCAAGCCUGAUCCAGCCAUACCGCGGGGGUGAAGAAGGCCUUCGGGUUGUAAAGCCCUGUUGUUGGGAAAGAAAAGCAGCAGGUUAAUACCCCGCUGUUCUGACGGUACCCAAAGAAUAAGCACCGGCUAACUUCGUG